GGAUGUGAGGGCGAUCUGGCUGCGACAUCUGUCACCCCAUUGAUCGCCAGGGUUGAUUCGGCUGAUCUGGCUGGCUAGGCAGGUGUCCCCUUCCUCCCUCACCGCUCCAUGUGCGUCCCGGUCUUCAGUCAAGGGUAUACGAGUAGCUGCGCUCCCCUGCUAGAACCUCCAAACAAGCUCUCAAAGUUGUUCUAGAUUUAGCAACAUUCUCUCACAGCACCUUCUAUUUCGUCUUUGAGGUAGACAGCACUCUGGA
rnacentral:snRNA from 1 species